rnacentral:rRNA from 1 species
GAUGAACGCUGGCGGCGCGCCUAAUACAUGCAAGUCGAGCGAAUGGAUUAAGAGCUUGCUCUUAUGAAGUUAGGGGCGGACGGGUGAGUAACACGUGGGUAACCUGCCCAUAAGACUGGGAUAACUCCGGGAAACCGGGGCUAAUACCGGAUAACAUUUUGAACCGCAUGGUUCGAAAUUGAAAGGCGGCUUCGGCUGUCACUUAUGGAUGGACCGGCGUCGCAUUAGCUAGUUGGUGAGGUAACGGCUCACCAAGGCAACGAUGCGUAGCCGACCUGAGAGGGUGAUCGGCCACACUGGGACUGAGACACGGCCCAGACUCCUACGGGAGGCAGCAGUAGGGAAUCUUCCGCAAUGGACGAAAGUCUGACGGAGCAACGCCGCGUGAGUGAUGAAGGCUUUCGGGUCGUAAAACUCUGUUGUUAGGGAAGAACAAGUGCUAGUUGAAUAAGCUGGCACCUUGACGGUACCUAACCAGAAAGCCACGGCUAACUACGUGCCAGCCGCCGCAGUAA